GCUCACUGCAUGUCACUUCCUUCAUGACAGAUGGGGACAGUCAACAAUUGACUGUACCACAAAAUGGGCUGAUCCGGUCCAUUCCAUCUGUUCUUUCUGGUGGAGGGAUUCAUAAGCAGGAGAAUGACCAAGAGCCUAGAGGAAGAAGAAAUAAACUCCACAUCACAUAAUGAGUACCCAAGGAACCAAGAAUCGACAUCAAUGAAGUAACCACCAUGGUGAACUGUCACAGUCAAUUAGGGCUCUGAGCCAAUAGUAAUAAAGUAUUUAAGUGAAUGUAUUAGACCUAAAGA
rnacentral:lncRNA from 1 species